rnacentral:RNase_P_RNA from 1 species
CGAGACGGCCAGGCGGUCGCGGCAGUGACGGGAGACCACUACUGUCGAGGAACGUCCGGGCUCCAGAGGGCAGGGUGGUUGCUAACGGCAACCCGGGGCGACCCGCGGGACAGUGCCACAGAAAGCAGACCGCCAGCGUUCGCGCUGGUAAGGGUGAAACGGUGGUGUAAGAGACCACCAGCGCCGCCGGUGACGGCGGCGGCUCGGUAAACCCCACCCGGAGCAAGGUCAAGAGGAGCCACGAGGCUCUGCGCGAAGGCCACACAGGGCGGCCCGUCCGAGCCCGCAAGGGCGCCUUCGCGGGUAGACCGCUUGAGCGCGCCGGCGACGGCGCGCCUAGAUGGAUGACCGUCCUAGACAGAACCCGGCGUAUCGGCCGUCUCGUUCC